GAUGAACGCUGGCGGCGUGCCUAAUACAUGCAAGUCGAGCGAACAGACGAGGAGCUCGCUCCUCUGACGUUAGCGGCGGACGGGUGAGUAACACGUGGAUAACCUACCUAUAAGACUGGGAUAACUUCGGGAAACCGGAGCUAAUACCGGAUAAUAUAUUGAACCGCAUGGUUCAAUAGUGAAAGACGGUUUUGCUGUCACUUAUAGAUGGAUCCGCGCCGCAUUAGCUAGUUGGUAAGGUAACGGCUUACCAAGGCGACGAUGCGUAGCCGACCUGAGAGGGUGAUCGGCCACACUGGAACUGAGACACGGUCCAGACUCCUACGGGAGGCAGCAGUAGGGAAUCUUCCGCAAUGGGCGAAAGCUUGACGGAGCAACGCCGCGUGAGUGAUGAAGGUCUUCGGAUCGUAAAACUCUGUUAUUAGGGAAGAACAAAUGUGUAAGUAACUAUGCACGUCUUGACGGUACCUAAUCAGAAAGCCACGGCUAACUACGUG
rnacentral:rRNA from 1 species